rnacentral:rRNA from 1 species
UACGUAGGGGGCAAGCGUUGUCCGGAAUCAUUGGGCGUAAAGCGCGUGUAGGCGGCUCGGUAAGUCCGCUCUGAAAGUCCAGGGCUCAACCCUGGGAUGCGGGUGGAUACUGCCGGGCUCGAGUCCGGAAGAGGCGAGUGGAAUUCCCGGUGUAGCGGUGAAAUGCGCAGAUAUCGGGAGGAACACCAAUGGCGAAGGCGGCACUCUGGGCCAGUACUGACGCUGAGGAGCGAAAGCGUGGGAGCGAACAGG